GAUGAACGCUGGCGGCGUGCUUAACACAUGCAAGUCGAACGAUGAAGCUCAGCUUGCUGGGUGGAUUAGUGGCGAACGGGUGAGUAACACGUGAGUAACCUGCCCUUUACUCUGGGAUAAGCCUGGGGAACUAGGUCUAAUAUCGGAUAGGAGCGCCUAUCGUAUGGUGGGGGUUGGAAAGAUUUAUCGGUUUUGGAUGGACUCGCGGCCUAUCAGCUUGUUGGUGUGGUAUUGGCUCACCAAGGCGACGACGGGUAGCCGGCCUGAGAGGGUGACCGGCCACACUGGGACUGAGACACGGCCCAGACUCCUACGGGAGGCAGCAGUGGGGAAUAUUGCACAAUGGGCGGAAGCCUGAUGCAGCGACGCCGCGUGAGGGAUGACGGCCUUCGGGUUGUAAACCUCUUUCAGUAGGGAAGAAGCGAAAGUGACGGUACCUGCAGAAGAAGCACCGGCUAACUACGUG
rnacentral:rRNA from 1 species